GGAGGGCCUGCAAGGAGCAGGGAGUGAGAAGGCGUGCUGUUGGAGGUCUGAAGAGUACAAGCGUGAUCAGGCUUCAGGAGGAAGAUCCUGUGGAAUGCAGCCUCAUUUCGUUAGGGGAGCGAACAGUUGGCUUUCUGCGUGGCUAAUUCUCGCAUUUGCUGAUCUCCUGGGAUAAGGAACACGUAACUCUGGUUUCUGGGUCUCCUCUUGCUCAUUUCCCAUUUAACAGCAGCACAGAAUCAUGGGGAGGACUAUGGAGAUGGUAUGUGUCCUCCCUGAGUCCAUCCCUAGACACCCCAAAUGGUUCAUCUGCAGGGACCUCAGGAG